ACGGCCAUCUUAGGCUGAAAGCACCAUAUCCCGUCUGCUCUGUGAAGUUAAGCAGCCUCAAGCUCGGGUAGUACUCGGGUGGGUGAGCACCUGGGAAAUCCGGGGUUCUUAGCUA
rnacentral:rRNA from 1 species